rnacentral:rRNA from 1 species
UAGAAUUGACGGGGCCCGCACAAGCGGUGGAGCAUGUGGUUAACUCGACGCAACGCGAAGAACCUUACCUGGCCUUGACAUGUUGGGAACUUUCCAGAGAUGGGUUGGUGCCUUCGGGAACCCAAACACAGGUGCUGCAUGGCCGUCGUCAGCUCGUGUCGUGAGAUGUUGGGUUAAGUCCCGUAACGAGCGCAACCCUUAUCCCUAGUUGCCAGCACAUUAUGGUGGGAACUCUAGGGAGAUUGCCGGUGACAAACCGGAGGAAGGUGGGGAUGACGUCAGGUCAUCAUGGCCCUUACGGCCAGGGCUACACACGUGCUACAAUGGCGCGCACAGAGGGCUGCAAACCCGCGAGGGGGAGCUAAUCUCACAAAACGCGUCGUAGUCCGGAUCGCAGUCUGCAACUCGACUACGUGAAGUCGGAAUCGCUAGUAAUCGCAGAUCAGCAUGCUGCGGUGAAUACGUUCCCGGGUCUU